CCGUUAGCCAGCAGUUUGUCUCCUAAAAGAGAGCUGUUUAGAGAGGCAGUUUUGAAUUUAGGAGCAGCAAGAUGGAAGCGGCAAACCCUGGCGAUUCUCCGCAGAAGUUGUGCAUGCAGUUUUGGUGUGCUGCUCUCCAAGACUACAAGCUGCGUUAAAGUUGGAAGUAACUGG